UACGUAGGGAGCGAGCGUUAUCCGGAAUUAUUGGGUGUAAAGGGUGCGUAGACGGGAGUGCAAGUUAGUUGUGAAAUCCCUCGGCUUAACUGAGGAACUGCAACUAAAACUACAUUUCUUGAGUGCAGGAGAGGUAAGUGGAAUUCCUAGUGUAGCGGUGAAAUGCGUAGAUAUUAGGAGGAACACCAGUGGCGAAGGCGACUUACUGGACUGUAACUGACGUUGAGGCACGAAAGUGUGGGGAGCAAACAGG
rnacentral:rRNA from 1 species